rnacentral:rRNA from 1 species
UGCAGAAUCCCGUGAACCAUCGAGUCUUUGAACGCAAGUUGCGCCCCAAGCCUUCUGGCCGAGGGCACGUCUGCCUGGGUGUCACAAAUCGUCGUCCCCCCAUCCUCUCGAGGAUAUGGGACGGAAGCUGGUCUCCCGUGUGUUACCGCACGCGGUUGGCCAAAAUCCGAGCUAAGGGCGCCAGGAGCGUCUCGACAUGCGGUGGUGAAUUCAAGCCUCGUAAUAUCGUCGGUCGUUCCGGUCCAAAAGCUCUCGAUGACCCAAAGUCCUCAACGCGACCCCAGGUCAGGCGGGAUCACCCGCUGAGUUUAAGCAUAUCAAUAAGCGGAGGAAAAGAAACUAACAAGGAUUCCCUUAGUAACGGCGAGCGAACCGGGAAGAGCCCAGCUUGAAAAUCGGACGUCUUCGGCGUUCGA